rnacentral:lncRNA from 1 species
AACUCGUGUCGGGCUCGAUAUUCGGCUCGCUCGAGCUCGGCUCAUUUUUUUUUUCAAGCAAGCUUGAGCCUAAAUUUAGGCUCAAAAUUAAUUUCAAGCCGAGCUUGCGUAUUACUCGACUCGCUCGAAUUAAGCUCGAAAUAUAUAUAUAUAUAUAUAUAUAUAUAUAUAUAUUGUCUAUUAUACUAUUAAUAGUACCAACCACUUACUAUUAGGUUUGUGGCCUUUGGAUGAAUGGAUGUGUGGUUAGAAUGAUAUUGAUUCCCUAGGGUUGAGUGGGUGGUUAGUUGAAUAAUAUGAUCUAACGGCACAAAAUUCGAUAGCACCACUUAUUUAGUACUAUCAAUAAUAUAGUAGCCGGACUCUCUCUCUCUCUAUGUAUAUAGUUUGGCUACUAUACUGUCUAUACUAUUCAUAGUACUAAGUGCUUUGUACUAUUAAGUUUUCUGCCAUUAGAUCUGCCUUAUAUAUAUAGAGUCCGGCUAGUAAACUAUCGAUAGUACCAAGUGUUUGGUGCUAUCGAGUUUUCUUCUGUUAGAUCUAUCACUUUGGCCAUUUUCAUUCGUUAGAUCAUACUAUUCAACUUGUCAACCACUCAACUCUAAGGGGCUACUAUCAUCCUGACCGCACAUCCCUUCAUCUAAGGGCCAAAAACCUAAUAGCAAGCGAUUUGUACUAUUAAUAGUAUAGUAGUCUAAUUCUAUAGCUAUAGACUCAGGCUACUAUACUCUUAUAAGUAUAGAGAACCCUUUUAUACUCAUAAAUUUUCAGUCGUUGGAUGUGCGAUUAGAAUGAUAGUGGUCCCCUAAGAUUGAGUGGGUGGUUCGUUGAAUAGUAUUAUUUAACGGAUGAAAAUGAUCAAAAUGAUAGAUCUAACGGUCGAAAAUUUAUAAGUAUAAAGGGGUUUAUACUCAUAAAAUUAUAUAUAGUCGCCAAACUCUCUCUCUCUCUCUCUCUCUCUCUCUCUCUCUCUCUCUCUCUCUAUAUAUAUAUAUAUAUAUAUAUAUAUAUAUAUAUAUAGUUCGACUACUAUACUUUUAUGAGUAUUGGCUCCCUUAUACUCAUAAGUUUUCGGCCCUUAAAUUUAUUUUAUUGAUCAUUUCCACCCAUUAGAUCAUACUAUUUAAUCAACUACCCACUCAACCCUAGGGGACCACUAUCAUUUUAAGUAGGGACCACCACCAUCCUAAGCACACAUCUUAUCAAUCAAUAGUUAAAAAUUUAUUAUAAUUAUAAGGGGGUCUAUACUCAUAAGAGCAUAGUAGCCCCAGCCUAUAUAUAUAUAUAUAUAUAUAUAUAUAUAGUAGGUCUUGUGUGCUAUUAGGAGCACGGAGGCCUUCGUGCUCCUGAGCCGUUUUUGAUAAUGGAGCUUCCGAAUCGACGAUCGGUUUCGUUAGACUUGAUCUAACGUAUUUGAAAUAUCUAGAAAAUAUUUUUUGCGUUUUUUCGAUAUCAUUUAUCUAGCAAUCGAUCGAAAGGGUUCAAAAUCAACGGCUGAAAAUAAAAAUCUCACAAAAAGUGGUGAUAUAGCACUAAAAUUUUCGAUCAGAGGCAUUGAUCUUGCUGUAAAUAGUAUAAAGAAUUUUCUAUCAAAAUUUCAUAUGAUUUGAAUACUUCUACACCGUUAAACUUGUAAACGAUAUACAUCAACCAUUAAAAAUUGUUGAUUUUAAAUCCUUUCGAUCACUAGGUAAAUGAUAUCGAAAAACCGCAAAAUUUAUUUUCUAGAUACUUCAAAUAUGCUAGAUCAAGUCUAACGGAGCCGAUCGUCGAUUCAAAAACUGUAUCAUCGAAAAUGGCUUAGGAGCACAGAGGCCUCCAUGCUCCUAAUAGCACACAAGACCUACUCUAUAUAUAUAAUAUAUUUUAAUUAUAUAAAAUAAUAUGUAUUAUGUAUUUUAAUUAUAUGUAUAUAGAAUUUAAAUUAUUCGGCCCACAAAACCAAACUAGCAAAAUCCUACUCUAAUUGCUCUGUUUCUCUCUUUUUUACUUCCUCGCAAAGUCGCUUUUUCUUUUUUAGUGUUAUAAUAUCGUAUUUCAUGCAUUCAUUUUGUAUGUUAAACUAUUAGAUAUUUUUUAUAU